rnacentral:rRNA from 1 species
GAUCCUGGCUCAGGAUGAACGCUAGCGACAGGCUUAACACAUGCAAGUCGAGGGGCAGCACAGGUAGCAAUACCGGGUGGCGACCGGCGCACGGGUGAGUAACGCGUAUGCAACUUACCUAUCAGAGGGGGAUAACCCGGCGAAAGUCGGACUAAUACCGCAUGAAGCAGGGGUCCCGCAUGGGGAUAUUUGCUAAAGAUUCAUCGCUGAUAGAUAGGCAUGGGUUCCAUUAGGCAGG